AGUCAUGGAUAAGGUUUGUUAAGCUCAGAAAACUGAUCAAUAUUGAAGACUAAAGCUGAAUCAGACACAUAAGGUAUGGCUGCCAUCCUCUCUUCCUGAGUGCAACCAUUGCUGCCUCCAGUUCCAUGGUUCCAGCCACUUGAGCAACUCAUAAUCUCCAGGUGGCCUCCAACUCCCAGGUGCUACGUGCCACAUUCAGAUAAAUAUGCUGAGGAAUCCUGCUGCCAAGUUGUGAGAGGACAUCAUUCUUUAGAAGGCCAGAACAGCUCUGUCAUAGCUUGUGCCUUCUUCCCUCGACGAGAUAAGUCCUUCCUGUUCACAGUCUGUAUAAUAGUUAAGUGAGAUCUGUUGUUAACCUGCACUUUUCUGACUGCAGUUAAUUUUGAGCUUCCUCAACUUGCUUGUAAUUGUUGCUACUUUUCAAGAUUGCUGUCUUGAGCUGGUGACUUUUCUUUUAAGUAGUUUUUCAUAUACACUGGAAUACUUGAAAUGUAACAACAGCCCAUCCAUUCUUCCAUGGUCUUGUUCACACUUACCAUACCAUAGAUCUUCGAGUGGAUAGAGUUAUUUUUAUGCUUUUAUUUUUGUGUGUCUGCUGUGCCUGUGUAUCCCAUAUUUUCCAGAGGGCUCACCAUACAUGAAAAGAUUUUUUGUUUGUUUGUUUUGUUUUGUUUUGAACACAUUUGAGUGUAUUUUCCCCUAUGGCAUGGUUUAUAAGCAUCUAAUAUUAUUCUUCUGAAUGACGAUGCUUGACUUUCCCAACAGCACAUGUAGAAGAGACUAGUCUUUCUCUACUAAGUGUUCUCAGCUGUGAUCACAAGGGUUCCUUCCUCCUGAGCUGUAUGGCUUCAUACUGCCUUUAGGGCUGCUUUUAUAACAAUGUCAACCGUAUUAAUCACAGUUGUUUUGUAAGAAUACCAUGAACCCUAGAGCAUGACACCUUCAGGUCUACCCCUUUGUCCUCUGGGGACAUUCAUUUGAUUAUUUGAGAUUUUUUUCUCUUUUGAUUUAAAUUUUAUGACUUUUAAAGCCAUUUCUGUGAGAAAUGUGGUUAAAGUUGUGGUAGAGCCAGGAUACUUAGGUUAGUACAGGUAUUAUUCAAGGAUUUCUAACUUCCAACCCACAAAUAAGAUGGCGUUGCUUUUCUUGUAGAAAUGCUAAAUCAUGCUUGUUUUUCUGUGAAAUUCUAAAUGGAUUUUUUUUUC
rnacentral:sRNA from 1 species